rnacentral:rRNA from 1 species
CCUACGGGUGGCAGCAGUGGGGAAUAUUGGACAAUGGGGGCAACCCUGAUCCAGCCAUGCCGCGUGUGUGAAGAAGGCCCUCGGGUUGUAAAGCACUUUCAGUGAGGAAGAACGCCUGGUGGUUAAUACCCAUCAGGAAAGACAUCACUCACAGAAGAAGCACCGGCUAACUCCGUGCCAGCAGCCGCGGUAAUACGGAGGGUGCGAGCGUUAAUCGGAAUUACUGGGCGUAAAGCGCGCGUAGGUGGCUUGAUAAGCCGGUUGUGGAAGCCCCGGGCUCAACCUGGGAACGGCAUCCGGAACUGUCAAGCUAGAGUGCAGGAGAGGAAGGUAGAAUUCCCGGUGUAGCGGUGAAAUGCGUAGAGAUCGGGAGGAAUACCAGUGGCGAAGGCGGCCUUCUGGACUGACACUGACACUGAGGUGCGAAAGCGUGGGUAGCAAACAGGAUUAGAUACCCUUGUAGUC